UACGAAGGGUGCAAGCGUUACUCGGAAUUACUGGGCGUAAAGGGUGCGUAGGUGGCUUGUUAAGUCUGCUGUGAAAUCCCCGGGCUCAACCUGGGAAUGGCAGUGGGUACUGGCAAGCUAGAGUGCGGUAGAGGGUAGUGGAAUUCCCGGUGUAGCAGUGAAAUGCGUAGAGAUCGGGAGGAACACCAGUGGCGAAGGCGGCUACCUGGACCAGCACUGACACUGAAGCACGAAAGCGUGGGGAGCAAACAGG
rnacentral:rRNA from 1 species